GACUUAAUAGCGAAGUUGGUAUCAUGUCCACUCUGGUUAGGCUGAGUAUCAGCUGCAAUAUGUGGAAGGCCCUUGUUCAAACCGAGGUUAGGUCC